rnacentral:lncRNA from 12 species
GGGGGGGGGGGGGGGGGGGGGGGGGGGGGGGGGGGGGGGGGGGGGGGGGGGGGGGGGGGGGGGGGGGGGGGGGGGGGGGGGGGGGGGGGGUGGGGGGGGGGGGAUAUUCAAAAUUAUCCAAAAUUGGCCAAAAUUAUCCAAAAUUGGCCAAAAUCGGCCAAAAUCGGCCAAAACCAGCCCAAAAACCAGCCCAAAUCAACCCAAAAUCAGGUCAAAGAGGCGGAUCAUGAAAGAGUCUGGGGGGGGGAAUAUCCAAAAUUAUCCAAAACUAUCCAAAAUUAUCCAAAAUUAUCCAAAAUCGGCACAAAAAUCACCCUAAAAUCAGCCCCAAAUCAACUUUAAAAACACAAAAAAUAUCUCAAAAAUCAGCCCCAAAAUCAACCCAAAAUCUCCCAAAAUCAGCCCAAAAACCAGCCCAAAGCAGCCAAAAAUCGUCAAAAAUCAGCCCAAAAUCAGCCCCAAAUCACCCAAAAGUAACCCAAAAAUCACCAAAAAUCAGCCCAAAAUCACCAAAAAUCAGCCCCAAAAUCAGCCCAAAUGAGCCUAAAAAUCAGCUAAAAUCAACCCCAAAAUCAGCCCCAAAAAUCAGCCCAAAAAUCACAAAAAAUCAACCCAAAAUCGCCCCAAAAAUCACCAAAAUCAGCUGAAAUUGCCACAAAAUCCCGUCCAAAAAUCACCCAAAAAACCCCAAAAUCCUCCCAAAAAAAUCACCCUAAAAAUCCCCAAAAUCCUCCGAAGUCGCCCCAAAAACGGGACGGGAUCCCCAAUUUCCGGGUCAGAAUUCCCAGUUUUGGCUCCGAAUUCCCAAUUUUAGUUGGGAAUUCUGGGAUUUUGGGUGGAAAUUCCCAAUUUUUGGGCUCAGAAUUCCCAGAUUUUGGGUCGGAGUUCCCGAUUUUCGGGUCGGAAUUCUGGGAUUUUUUGCUGGCAAUUCCCAAUUCCGGUUCGGAAUUCCCGAUUUCCCAGGGGAACUCCAGCACUUCUGGUCACAAUUCCCGGAUUUCCGGUUGGAAUUUUGGGAUUUUGGCUCGGAAUUCCCGGACUUCCGGUUGGAAUUUGGGGGUUUGGGUUGGAAUUUUGGGAUUUCUGGUGAGAAUUCCGGGAAUUUGGAGUUGGAAUACGAGGAUUUCCGGUCCCAGUUCCGGUUUUUCCAGUCCCAAUUCCCAAUUUCUGGUCCCAGUUCCAGGAUUUCCGGUCCCAAUUCUGGGAUUUCCGGUCCCAAUUCUGGGAUUUCCAUUCCCCAUUCCCAAUUUCCGGCCCCAGUUCCGGUUUCCCGGUUCCAGUUCCGGUUCCCUAGUCCCAGUUCCGGUAUUUCUGGUUUCCCUAUUCCAGUUUCCCGGUUCCAGUUCCGGUUCCCCGGUUCCAGUUCCGGUGGUUUCCUGGUUCCAGUUCUGGUUUCCCGGUUCCAGUUCCAGUUUCCCAGUUCCCAGUUCCGGUUCCCCAGUUCCGGUUCAGGUUUCCCGGGGGGGGGGGGGGGGGGGGGGGGGGGGGGGGGGGGGGGGGGGGGGGGGGGGGGGGGGGGGGGG